UCAAAGCUACGGAUUGUGCAAUGCCAGUGUGUAAAGCAUGGUGUUGCAUGGAGUCAGGAAAAGAGGGUGUUGCAUGUCACGUAAAAACAAAAGAACAAACAACAGAAGGCAAAAGUGUAUGUGAGAACAGUGAACUUGAGUACAGGACAGAGGAGGAGCCUUAAUAGCAGCUCUCAGUCCUCUUCAGCUGCGAGCACAAAUGAGGAACAGCAGGAAGUAACACUUGCGUGGUUGAUGGCAGGUGCUGAGAGUUGCCGGCCCGACUGGUUGUCUUCUUCCUUCUCCUGGCCAUCCCCGCGAUUAUUGGAACCAUCUUUUACAUAAGGAGGAAGAAACAUGCACAGACAGACCAAAUGCCCUCUGGACCCUCUUUGGAUUAUGGAAAUAUAGAGAUGUUGGACAGAAACGCCGUUCCUAAUUUCUCAGUCACCCAGCAAAAUGCAUGCAAUGACUUGUAACAUCGAUAUGUAUAUAAGGGAAAUAAUAAUUCAGUUACAGUUACUGCAUAUGUUAAAUGUUGCCCUGCCAUUUUUUACUGUUCUGCACAGUAUACAUACUGCUAUGAUGAAACAAUAUUCUAGGCAUUUCUCAUUAGUAACUUUGCUUAAUGCUGGCCCUAGUUGAAAUAAAAA